UACGGGGGGGGCAAGCGUUGUUCGGAAUUAUUGGGCGUAAAGAGCUCGUAGGCGGUCUGUCGCGUCGGCUGUGAAAACCCGGGGCUCAACCCCGGGCCUGCAGUCGAUACGGGCAGACUAGAGUGCGGUAGGGGAGACUGGAAUUCCUGGUGUAGCGGUGAAAUGCGCAGAUAUCAGGAGGAACACCGGUGGCGAAGGCGGGUCUCUGGGCCGUAACUGACGCUGAGGAGCGAAAGCGUGGGGAGCGAACAGG
rnacentral:rRNA from 1 species